rnacentral:rRNA from 1 species
GAUGAACGCUGGCGGCGUGCCUAAUACAUGCAAGUUGUGCGGUAACAGAGAGAGCUUGCUCUCUGCUGACGAGCGGCGGACGGCAGAGUAACGCGUAGGAACCAUACCCCAAACUGAGGGAUAACUGCUCGAAAGAGUAGCUAAUACCGCAUGUGGUUUUCGGAUUAAAGCUUCGGCGGUUUGGGAGUGGCCUGCGUCCGAUUAGCUAGUUGGUGAGGUAAUUGCUCACCAAGGCGACGAUCGGUAGCUGGUCUGAGAGGAUGAUCAGCCUGACUGGAACUGAGAACGGUCCAGGGCUCUACGGGAGGCAGCAGUAGGGAAUUUUCCACAAUGGGCGAAAGCCUGAUGGAGCAACGCCGCGUGCAGGAUGAAUGCC